rnacentral:rRNA from 1 species
CUCGUAGGCGGUUCGGCAAGUCGACGGUGAAAUCUCCACGCUCAACGUGGAGGGGUCCGUCGAUACUGCCGUGACUCGAGUCCGGUAGGGGAGUGUGGAAUUCCCGGUGUAGCGGUGAAAUGCGCAGAGAUCGGGAGGAACACCCGUAGCGAAGGCGGCACUCUGGGCCGGUACUGACGCUGAGGAGCGAAAGCGUGGGGAGAAC